rnacentral:tRNA from 1 species
AUUGAAAUGGCAGAAAUCAAUGCAAAGGCUUUAAGAGCCUUGUAUACCUUUUUAAGGUUUUCUC